GACCUCGGUCUUAUAUUGUUGGGUUUGCAGACUUGAGGUAAUGAUUAAGAGGGACUGACGGGGGCCUUCGUAUUACGGCGUUAGAAGUGAAAUUCUUGGAUCGCCGUAAGACGAACUACUGCCAAAGCCUUUGCCAAGAAUGUUUUCAUUAAUCAAGAACGAAAGUCAGAGGUUCGAAGAC
rnacentral:rRNA from 1 species